GAGAAGGAACUGGGCAUAAAAUAGGGCUGCUAACUUUAUUUUGGGUGGUUCAAUUCCAUCCUCUUUCUU
rnacentral:tRNA from 1 species